rnacentral:rRNA from 1 species
UACGUAGGGUGCGAGCGUCAAUCGGAAUUACUGGGCGUAAAGCGUGCGCAGGCGGUUUUGUAAGACAGGCGUGAAAUCCCCGGGCUCAACCUGGGAAUGGCGCUUGUGACUGCAAAGCUGGAGUGCGGCAGAGGGGGAUGGAAUUCCGCGGUGUAGGCAGUGAAAUGCGUAGAUAUGCGGAGGAACACCGAUGGCGAAGGCAAUCCCCUGGGCCUGCACUGACGCUCAUGCACGAAAGCGUGGGGAGCAAACAGGA